rnacentral:rRNA from 1 species
UCCGGUGACGAUACCGCAGUGGUCACACCUGUUCCCAUCCCGAACACAGAAGUUAAGCACUGCAGGGGCGAAAAUAGCUGAGCGGACCUCAGUGAAACAAGCACGCUGCCGGGU